rnacentral:rRNA from 1 species
GGGUUGUGAGGUUAAGCGACUAAGCGUACACGGUGGAUGCCCUGGCAGUCAGAGGCGAUGAAGGACGUGCUAAUCUGCGAUAAGCGUCGGUGAGGUGAUAUGAACCGUUAUAACCGGCGAUUUCCGAAUGGGGAAACCCAGUGUGUUUCGACACACUAUCAUUAACUGAAUCCAUAGGUUAAUGAGGCGAACCGGGGGAACUGAAACAUCUAAGUACCCCGAGGAAAAGAAAUCAACCGAGAUUCCCCCAGUAGCGGCGAGCGAACGGGGAGGAGCCCAGAGCCUGAAUCAGUGUGUGUGUUAGUGGAAGCGUCUGGAAAGGCGUGCGAUACAGGGUGACAGCCCCGUACACAAAAAUGCACAUAUUGUGAGCUCGAUGAGUAGGGCGGGACACGUGGUAUCCUGUCUGAAUAUGGGGGGACCAUCCUCCAAGGCUAAAUACUCCUGACUGACCGAUAGUGAACCAGUACCGUGAGGGAAAGGCGAAAAGAACCCCGGCGAGGGGAGUGAAAAAGAACCUGAAACCGUGUACGUACAAGCAGUGGGAGCCUCUUAAUGGGGUGACUGCGUACCUUUUGUAUAAUGGGUCAGCGACUUAUAUUCUGUAGCAAGGUUAACCGAAUAGGGGAGCCGAAGGGAAACUGAGUCUUAACUGGGCGUUAAGUUGCAGGGUAUAGACCCGAAACCCGGUGAUCUAGCCAUGGGCAGGUUGAAGGUUGGGUAACACUAACUGGAGGACCGAACCGACUAAUGUUGAAAAAUUAGCGGAUGACUUGUGGCUGGGGGUGAAAGGCCAAUCAAACCGGGAGAUAGCUGGUUCUCCCCGAAAGCUAUUUAGGUAGCGCCUCGUGAAUUCAUCUCCGGGGGUAGAGCACUGUUUCGGCAAGGGGGUCAUCCCGACUUACCAACCCGAUGCAAACUGCGAAUACCGGAGAAUGUUAUCACGGGAGACACACGGCGGGUGCUAACGUCCGUCGUGAAGAGGGAAACAACCCAGACCGCCAGCUAAGGUCCCAAAGUCAUGGUUAAGUGGGAAACGAUGUGGGAAGGCCCAGACAGCCAGGAUGUUGGCUUAGAAGCAGCCAUCAUUUAAAGAAAGCGUAAUAGCUCACUGGUCGAGUCGGCCUGCGCGGAAGAUGUAACGGGGCUAAACCAUGCACCGAAGCUGCGGCAGCGACACUAUGUGUUGUUGGGUAGGGGAGCGUUCUGUAAGCCUGUGAAGGUGGCCUGUGAGGGUUGCUGGAGGUAUCAGAAGUGCGAAUGCUGACAUAAGUAACGAUAAAGCGGGUGAAAAGCCCGCUCGCCGGAAGACCAAGGGUUCCUGUCCAACGUUAAUCGGGGCAGGGUGAGUCGACCCCUAAGGCGAGGCCGAAAGGCGUAGUCGAUGGGAAACAGGUUAAUAUUCCUGUACUUGGUGUUACUGCGAAGGGGGGACGGAGAAGGCUAUGUUGGCCGGGCGACGGUUGUCCCGGUUUAAGCGUGUAGGCUGGUUUUCCAGGCAAAUCCGGAAAACCAAGGCUGAGGCGUGAUGACGAGGCACUACGGUGCUGAAGCGACAAAUGCCCUGCUUCCAGGAAAAGCCUCUAAGCAUCAGGUAACAUCAAAUCGUACCCCAAACCGACACAGGUGGUCAGGUAGAGAAUACCAAGGCGCUUGAGAGAACUCGGGUGAAGGAACUAGGCAAAAUGGUGCCGUAACUUCGGGAGAAGGCACGCUGAUAUGUAGGUGAAGCGACUUGCUCGUGGAGCUGAAAUCAGUCGAAGAUACCAGCUGGCUGCAACUGUUUAUUAAAAACACAGCACUGUGCAAACACGAAAGUGGACGUAUACGGUGUGACGCCUGCCCGGUGCCGGAAGGUUAAUUGAUGGGGUUAGCGGCAACGCGAAGCUCUUGAUCGAAGCCCCGGUAAACGGCGGCCGUAACUAUAACGGUCCUAAGGUAGCGAAAUUCCUUGUCGGGUAAGUUCCGACCUGCACGAAUGGCGUAAUGAUGGCCAGGCUGUCUCCACCCGAGACUCAGUGAAAUUGAACUCGCUGUGAAGAUGCAGUGUACCCGCGGCAAGACGGAAAGACCCCGUGAACCUUUACUAUAGCUUGACACUGAACAUUGAGCCUUGAUGUGUAGGAUAGGUGGGAGGCUUUGAAGUGUGGACGCCAGUCUGCAUGGAGCCGACCUUGAAAUACCACCCUU